rnacentral:lncRNA from 1 species
ACAAACCAUGAGUGACACCUUGCAGCAUAUCAUGGUUACCCAAGCUAAACAGAAGAGGUAGAGAAAACCUAUUCAGUUUGGGAUUACAAAUGCAAUACGGUCUUUCUCUAAUACAAUACUCUUGACCACAUUGUUUGGUUUUGAUAGUUUAUUUAUUCAUGUCUACUAUCCAAUGUGAUUCGUGUGCUUAUAUGAUUACCUUGAAUGUGAUUUGGAACGCAUUCCUAAAUCUCAUUCAUACUCUGGCCAGAGAUUCUAAAUCAUAUCAUAGAGUAUUCUCCCCCAACGGUUUGAAGGUUAGAGAUCCCUUGUUGCGCAUUCACUUGCCUCCAUGGCUAAGUGGCUUAACCCCAACGAUGCCGUGGACACUCCAAUGGAAUGACGUUUGACAUAAUCAAAGAUCAAGGACUUAACCACAAGACAACUGUGAUGCCUCAGGUCAAAGGACUACUUUGCAUUAUCCCAACCAUGAGUUCUCAUGUGACAUGAGUAUGAGAACUCUUCGUUGAUCGCAUUCAGUGAACUCAUUCUCUACUGAGCACCUACGUACUUGUCUUGAUGUCACACACACCAAUGACUCGAGCUAGUCACUCUCCUUGAGAGAAGACAUAGCACGUACCGAUCUUGACGGACUGUCAAUGCCCAAUUGACAAUCCUAUGAUCAGGAACAUUUAGGAUGUGUCUACGAAAGAAUGGUCUCAUGAAUCUAACUUCAUUAGAUUGCAUUCUCCCAAUCACAUAUUCCUUGGACUUUAUCGUUUAAGCAUAUAACAUUUAUAUGAGACGGCUCAAACAAUAAUAUUUGCCCUUUAUAUUUAAACUAGAUUAGUUUAACAUGUGAAAUGUCCGUAAAGUAUCAUCAUAUGAUUGGCUUUAGGGCACAUUUCCAACAGUUCCCUAUAUGAACAGCAUGAUAGAGAUACGUUCAAAGAUCAUUAAAUUCCAUGGAAAUCAUAAGCAUUGACAAGGCAAUUAUAACUAUGAACUGCAUGAUACUUUUGUCAAGAAUCUACUUAACACGAUUGUGACUAACAAUCUCCACUACUUGUAAUUAUAAGUUUCUAACGAUUAGGUGAAAGUCCCUUAUAAUUUAGCAUCAGAUUCAAGCAUGCAAACUAAGUAGGCCUCCUUAAUCAACACACAAGAAUAAGUUAUCAAUCAAAUAGAUAAGUAAAACGCAUUCAUAUUUUACGAAACAAUAACUGAAAGGAAUCAAUUCAUAUUAACAUAUAUCCAUGGCUUCGAAUUCACCACUAACUAAUAAGAAUUUAGUUCCACAUGUUCAUAGCAAUUGAAAAGCAAAUUGAAAUAAACAUCAAAACUGAAACGAGGGAAGAAAGAACUCUUAAAACUCCCAAGGAUGCAGAUGGCUUGCGCACAAGGCCUUCCUUCAUCAAUGGAAUGCACGGCAAAGCUCUCCUUCUUCUCCAAAAGGUACGGCAGAGAUGUAUAUGGAUGUAGGAUGGUGUUUUGUGAUGUAGAAUGGUGGUUAGGGUUGAGGCAAAGGUAUUUCUGAAUGGUAUGAAGGGUUGUGACGAAUUUAGGCUUUAAAACAUCUAUUUAUAGGCUAGGGUUUCCAUAAAAUCUGAUGGGAAAGGGUUAGGGUUUUGGAGAUAAAAGGCUUGGCCUAUCCAAGGGAGAAAAUAAUUAGGGUUUUAUGCAGAUUUUUUAGGCUUCUAGAACACUAGGUGCGGCACAACCCUAGGGUAGAUGGAUUAGGGUUUAAACUUAGCAAAAAAUAAAGGAUCAGGGCCCUAGGGUGCGGCAUGGGCUUAGAACAAAGCUGAAAAAGGAUUAGGAAACUUCCAAUUCAAUAAUAGAAACUUUCAAGAAUGGAAACCUCCAAGAAUAACAACUUCCAACUUUAGAAACUUUGGUUUCCAAUUCUGAACUCUUUGUUCUUCAUUUUCAUUUCUUCAUUCAUUAUUCAUUCCUAGCCUCAUUUGAUCUUCAAUUUCGUCCAUUCCUUUAGAUCCAAGCAUGUGCUAUCCAUUUAGUGCCCAAAACUGCUCCAAAAUGCUCCAAAAUGCACUUUCUUGCCAACUUUGUCAUUUGGACCUACAAACACACGAAAAUAGCUUAAAACACUAUAAUAACCACAAACUAACUAUAAAAGUGCAAGAAAACAAGCUAACUAAGUCGCAUAAAUAUGCUCCUAUCAGUAAGUACUUCAACGCUGCAUGGUCAGAAUAAAUAAUGACUUUAGUUCUAAUUAAAUAAAAACGAAACUUAUCUAAAGAAAAUACAACAGCAACAAGUUCUUUUUCAGUGGUGGAAUAGUUCAAUUGAGCAUCAUUCAAGGUGCGGGAUGCAUAAUAGAUGACGUGGGGCUGCUUGUUCUUCCGUUGGCCUAAAACAGCUCCAAUUGCAUAAUCUGAGGCAUCACACAUGAGCUCAAAAGGAAGACUCCAUUCUGGUGGAGUUAUGAUAGGGGCCGAAGUAAGCAUCUCCUUGAGGUGUUUGAAGGCUUUCUCACACUCCUUCUUGAACUUAAAUGGCACUUCUUUUUUAAGGAGACAACAAAGGGGCUGUGCAACCUUGGAAAAGUCCUUGAUGAAUCGCCUAUAGAAUCCUGCAUGUCCAAGAAAAGAACGAACCUCUCUAACCGAAGUAGGGGAGGGUAAGUAGCGUACAAGAUCUAUUUUCAACUUAUCAACCUCAAUUCCCUUUUUUGAGAUUAUGUGACCCAAAACUAUACCUUGUUUUACCAUAAAAUGACACUUUUCCCAAUUCAAAACAAGGUUAGUUUCAAUGCAGCGUUUUAAGAUCAAAGUGAGAUUAGAUAAGCAUUCAUCAAACGAAUCACCAAAAACACUAAAAUCAUCCAUGAAUACUUCAAUGCUCUUUUCCACAUAAUCUGAGAAAAUACUCAUCAUGCAUCUUUGAAAUGUGGCAGGUGCAUUGCAUAAACCAGAAGGCAUUCUACGGUAAGCAAACGUACCAAAUGGGCAUGUGAAAGUGGUAUUUUUUUGGUCAUCCGGAGUUAUGACAAUCUGAUUAUAACCUGAAUAACCAUCAAGAAAACAAUAAAAUGUAUGACCAGCUAGCUAAACUUUCAAGCAUUUGAUUAAUGAAUGGCAGAGGGAAGUGAUCAUUCCUUGUCAUGGCGUUGAGCUUCCUAUAAUCAAUGCAAACUCUCCAACUUGUUCGGAUACGGGUAGGCACAAGCUCAUUCUCUUCAUUCUCCACCACAGUAACUCCAGAUUUCUUUGGAUCAACUUGGAUCGGCGAAACCCAACAAUUAUCAGAAAUUGGAUAGAUUACCUUACAAUCAAGUAGCUUGAAAAUCUCAUUGAAGGGUUGAGACGGCAUUGAGCCUCUCGAGAUGGUUUAGCCUCCUCCUCCGAAAGUAUACGAUGCAUGCAAGUGGUAGGGCUUAUUCCCUUGAUGUUGCCCAAGAUCCAUCCAAUGGCUGUUUUGUAUUCCUUCAACAUUCUCACCAACUUCCCUUCUUCUUGUGCCGUGAGUAAGGAAGAGACUAUGACCGGCAAAGUCUCUUGGUUGCCUAGGAAAACAUACUCCAAAUGGCUUGGUAAAGGUUUAAGUUCAAGGGAAGGUGCGUGAAUCACUGAAGGAAACAUUUUAUUAGUAGAAACAGAAUCUGAAUUUGAGAUUAGAAGCUUACCAUAUUGUGGUGGCAAUGACUCAAGGGCAGCAACCAUUUCAAUUACUUCUUCACUAGAGGGCACGGCAUGGGUUGUUUCAUGCAUGUCAUGGGUAUGCUUAGAUUUUGUCCCUUCAUUUUUGAGUCCCACUCCAUUCGUAAUGACCGUUUCAAGUGCAUCUUCAUGUAAUUGCUCAUGAUGUUUAUGCGCCAAUAAAUCAAUAAUAUCAAUAGGGAAACAAGAAUGGUCAUCAUUAGGAUAUCUCAUAGCUUCAGAAAUAUUGAAAUCAAUAACUUCCCCAUCAAAUUCCAUUGACAGUGUCCCUUUGAACACAUCGAUCUUAGUGCGAGCUGUUUUCAUGAAUGGUCGUCCAAGCAAGAUUGGCAAUGGUGUAGCAUGGGCCGAAUCCUCCAUCUCUAACACAUAGAAGUCAGCUGGGAAUACCAAGUGAUUAACCUGCACUAAAACAUCCUCCAAAACUCUGGAUAAGCAUUAGAGCGAUUGGCCAAUUGAAUAAUCACUCCAUCAUGUUUCAAUUCACCUAAGUUCAUAGAUCCAUAAAUUGAAUAUGGCAUGACAUUAAUUGAUACACCUAAGUCUAACAUGGCAUGUUCAAACCUAAUAUUACCAAUGACACAAGGAAUUGUAAAACUACCAGGAUCUUAGCAUUUGGUUGGCAGUUUUCGUUGCAAAAUGGCUUAAACGUUUUCACUUACCUUUACAACUUCUUUGUUAGAAAUCCUUUUCCUUGUUGUACAAAGUUCUUUUAAAAACUUAGCAUGCCUUGGAACUUGUUUAAUUGCAUCAAAGAGAGGGAUAUUCACUUGCACCUUUCUAAACGUCUCCAGAAUGUCCUUUUCACUCUCUUCCUUCUUUGAUUGCAUAAUUCUGCGAGGGAAAGGAACAUGGGGUGGAAUAGGGUUAGAAUUAAUCGAAAUUGAACCCUUCUUACCUGUGUUGGAUGAAUUGGACAGAUUAAGGAGUGUAGGAGGCUGCGGCAAGGAUUGAGCAAUCCUUGCCGUGGGGUUGUCUUGCUCUUCCUCUUCGAAUUGCAGUUUCUUGUCCUCAUUUUGGGCAGAUUUGGAUGGUUAUGGAUCGACUCCAACUUCUUUUCCACUUCUUAAUGUAAUGGCCUUGGCAGAUUCAAACCCUCCCUUCGGAUUCACAGUGGUUGAACUCGGCAAUCUGCCUUGCCCUCUAAAUUGGCCCAUGAAUUCCGCCAUUUGCCCUAUUUGUUUCUUUAGUUCGUUCACUUCUUUGGCUUUGUUUUGCUGUCUAUGCGCCAAAGUGGUUAGUAAUUGAAUAACUUGAUCAUUAUCUAUGAACGAACCUGAAUUGGUUUGGGCAGGCUGUGGUUGGGGUUGAAUUGGUGCAUAUGGUCUUUGAUAUAUCCCAGUGGGUGGCUGUCGAAAACCUUCUUGUUGUUGAGGGUCACUCUACCUAAAAUUUGGGUGAUCUCUCCAUCCCGGAUUGUAUGUAUUUGAGUAUGGAUCAUUCUUUUGCUGAUUUUGGCCUUGAAACUCAAUAACGUUGGCACUUUCCCAUCCUCCAUUCUCAAUCAAUUGAGGGCAAUUUUUAGAUUGGUGCCCUUGGAUAGAGCACACGCCACAAACUAUAUUUUCUUGCACUUUGGGUCUUUCAACAACCUGUGACACAAGAAAAGUGAGAUUAGCCAAUUGGGAUUAAAUUUCAAAAAUUGUACUUACUUCAUUCACAUGUGAUACGAAAUAUAUAAGCACACAAAUUAAACCCUCUUUUUAUCAAAUGUAGUAAAGUAUGUAAGUAGGGAUCAUUCUAGGCCGGGGAUUAGGAGGGAUUGCUAAAUCACUUGGCAACUGACUUGAAAACGUAAAAACAAAGUUUAAAACACUAAACUAGACUCAAAGAAUGCAAAACUAUACUUUAAAAUACUAAGAUAAACAAAAAGAUUCAAAACAGCAACCAAAGACUCAAAACUGCCUUAAAAACACUUUCUGGGCAGUUUUGGGACUCUAACACAAACUUGGACGAAUUUUGGUUUUCUAAUGAACUAAAACACUUAAAAACAUAAUAUAAGACAAGUUCUAAUUAAUAUGACUCAAAGAAAUAAGAUGGGGUUGAUUUUGGACGAAAAUAAUUAAAUUAAGACAAGAACAAAGUAAAUAGAUUCUUAGACAAAUUUGGGUGAAUCAAAACACUUAAAAACACAAACUAAAGUGAUUACUAACUAAUCUAACACUUUGAAAUAAAUGGGAGAUUGGUUCUUGACGAAUUUGAAAACAAAACAAACUUUGUAAAACAAAACAGAUUGUAAAUGAAUUUGAAUGAAACUUAUGGAUGGAAGGCUAGCUAGGAGGUUCUUCUCCACACAUGUCACACUUGCAUACAAAACGAUUUCCAGUUGCUUUUCGAUAAACUAUGAAUACUCAACGCCCUAAAUUAACCGUGAAUUGCACUAAUUAACCCUCAGUUUUUCCACAAGUUAUUGGGUUGGAUGAUUGCAUACGACAACCCAAAACAUUCCUUACAAGUUCCCUACAUGAAUUACAUAAUAGAGAUACAAGCAAGAAUCAUUAAGUUCUAUGAAAAACAUAAGCAUUGACGAGGCACUCGUUACUAUGAUUUGCAUGAAACUUAUGCCAAGAAUUUACUUAACGUGAUUGUGACUAGCAACCUUCACUACUUGUGAAUAUAAGUUCAUAACGAUUAGGUGAAACUCCCUUAUAUUCUAGCGUCAAAUUCAUGCAUGAAAAUUAAGCGUGCACUCUCAACCAACAUACACAAAUCAGUUUUUAUACGAACGGAUAAGUAAAUUGAAUUCACAACUUAUGAAUCACAACUGGAUGUAAUCAAAUCAUAUUGCAAGCAUGAACAUAGUUUCAAAUCACCCCCUAACUAAGAGGGGUUUAGUUCCUCAUACUCACAAAGCAAAGAUGCAUAAAUUUAGACAUUAAAAACAAAGAUAGAAAACACCUAGAAACGCUCCAACAGUCCCAAGGCUUGGGCUUAGGCACGGCACCAGGGUUCUUCUUCUUUCUCCUUCCUUGCAAGCUGCGGCACUAGAGGUUUUGGACAGGUUUUGGGUGGUUUUUAUGGUGUAGAAUGGAUGGGGAAUGGUAUGGAAAUGUUUAGGGUUGAUGGGUGGUGUGGCUAGGGGUGAUUUUUGGCUGAAUUUGGAGAGAAUGGUGGUGGAGAACUCACGGCAAAGACAAGGAUUAAAAUCUGUUCCCUAUGAUGAAUAUGGGAGGUGGUAUUUAUAGGCUUGAGAGAGGACCACUCCAUUUCCUUUGCAUGUGCAGCUUGUGUGGGUGUGAGUUGUCAUGUUUCCCCUUUACAUUUAUACACACAUGCUUCAUCAUUUCAACCACAAAACACACCAAUUUUCUGCCCAUGCCAUAUGCUUUUCUUCCACUUUGCAAGUGGGUUUGCUGCCAUGUUUCUUUGCUUUGCCAUUACACUUUCACACAUACAUGUUCUUUGCAUCAUUUCAACCACAAAACACACACUUUCGGCCAUGUUUCUCCUUUACAUUUGCACACACACAUGCUUCAUCAUUUCAACCACAAAACACACCAAUUUUCUGCCCAUGCCGUGUGCUUUUCUUCCACUUUGCAUGUGGGUUUGCUGCCAUGUUUCUUUGCUUUGCCAUUACACUUGCACACAUACAUGUUCUUUGCAUCAUUUCAACCACAAAACACACACAAUUUCUGCCCAUGCUGUGUGCUUCCAUGUGUGUGCUGCAACAUUCUUUUCUUUGCCAUGUGUUUGCUGCAACAAGGGAUUUAUUUAAAGGGAUAAAGGAAAUAAAACCCUAGGUUAACUAGGUAAACAGAAAUUAAGUCUAAAGCUUCUACAAUUUAGGGAAACAAAUAAAAAAUUUAAAGGAAAUAAGCUAAAAGGUGUGGCAAGGCUUUAAAGUAGAUUAGGAAAGUGUUUAAAUGCAAGAUAUAGGAAAGAAUGACUCUUCCUUGCACGGAAAGGAAGAGUAAUGGCAAGGGUGGAGCACACGGCUGGUUGCUUAUUUUUGAACACUUCGUUCUUUAUUUGUCUUGAAUCCAAUUAUUCACAUCAUCAUUCAAUCCUAUGCUCAUUUGAUCUUCAAUUUCGUCCAUCUUCUUACUUCCAAGCAUAUGCAAUCCAUUUGAUGCACAAAAACUGCUCCAAACGACUCCAAAAUGCACAUGUAUGCAUACUUUGUCCUUAAAACCUGAAAACACAUAAAAGUGACUUUAAACACUAAAAUAACUAAAGAAAUACAACGUAAACGUACGAGAACAAGCCAAUUAAGUCGCAUAAAAAUGCUCCUAUCAAAUUCCCCCACACUUAGCUUUUGCUAGUCCUCGAGCAAACAAAGAAAUAAAACGAAACAAGACAAAUAAAACACAACCUAAACCUUCCAACAAUUGCCUCAGGGAUUUCCAAUGCACAUGACAUGUUAAAACACUUCCCCCACACUUGUUUUUUGCCAAACAUUACUCAAAAGGAAUUCAAUUUGAAUCAUUCUUUACUAUGCUUUAAGAACAAGGGUAUAGAUGGUCCUAAUCUAGGCUAGGUGGAGAUGAUGUGAUUAACAAAGAAAAACAGGCUCAACAAGGCUCAACGGGGUUUACCCUUGAACAUAUAAUGAAGUAGUAAAAUGGAAAUUUGGCUAAGGUGGUGGUCACUACACAACUUCUUCUUGAAUAUGUGUUAUGCAAAUCAAUAGCAUGUUUUGAAUGAAAUGGGCAUGAGUUCUAGAAUUUGGAACUAAAUGAUGAAACGCCUUCUAAGUAGUAACCAAGCAAAGAAUAAUGAGAUCAUGCAACGACUUAGAAAACAAUAAUGCACAAAUUAUCAACUCUCCAAAUAACGUUUAGGCUCAAGUCUCACAAGGUUGUAGCAUUUGUUUGAGUUCCUUCCUUCAAGCAUGUUACAAAAACUAAUUUUUCCUUUAUGAUUGCAUGUGAAUUCAUAAAUUAUAACCACAACCAAGCAUACACCAAAGAGUAAAUCAAAUGUUCAUCCAUGUUUAUAACUCUCUUUAACAGUCAUGUAAUUAAAAACCAAAUCCUCAUCAUUGUGUUGGAAGGUACCCUAAGACACAAAUAAACAUACAAAAACAACUCUUUUUGGGUUUUUCAAAACAAUUUUUUCAAAUUUUUAUGGGAUUUUUGGAUUUUUAUGUCAAAACACACUGAAACACUCCAAAACAGCUUGAAAACACUUAAAAGAGCAAGGAACAACAUUAGAAGUAAUGGGUGAUAAACUCCUACAAAUUUCAUGCAAAACAAUGGUUACCCCCCCCCCCCACACUUAAUUCAAACAUUGUCCUCAAUGUUUCAAGCAUAAACUCACACAAAAACAAGCAAAUAAACAAACAACGAAUAAACAUGACAAGUAUAGCAAAGUAAACAAAAAAAUAGACAUAGUAGAGUUUAAGAACGCAAAUCUGGUUUUGGAGAUAGAUGAUCUUGUUGACUUUCCACAGCUUUGAUCUCUAACUGGUUUGGAAUUCUGAGCGAGGAAUAUCAGAGUUCCUUAGUUUCAAAUCAGACUCCUUCUGCUGGGUUGAUUUGAUUGUGCAAUCUUCAUUCUUCUCUGCUUGUUUCUUCUGCACGGCAAGCAGACACGAGGUAGAGGUGUUGGUCUAUUUCUUUCUUCAAUCUUUCCAAGUGCCCACCUCUUGCUUUUUUUCUCCUUAUCCCUAGUUGAGGAUGAAUUGGUAAAUUGUCUCCACAUGCUUCGAGGUAUCAUUUUCACUUCCCUUAUCUGUUCCCCAGGCAGAUGUGGUAGACGAAGCGGAAGCAUAAGAGGAUGAAGAUAAGUACUCGAGAGUAAAGCUAGGUAAGCAAUCAGGAAGGGGUUCCAGGCAGUCGGUUCUAGAUCGGAAGAUUGAUACCAAGUGCUGGCUGAUUACUCACUUUCUCCUUGUCCUAAAACAACGACAAGGAGAAGGACAGGGAGCAAGCAUGAUAUGAGAUACUCUUUCUUUCAACCUUCAUGAUAUGAAAUACUUUUGCUUUUGAUGGGUUGUUUGCAGAGGUACCCCAAGGAAUAAGGAACACUGAGUGACUCGAAAGGGUUUGUUGGAAAGGCAUUCUCGGAGACGACGGAAGGUUAUGUAUGUCUGCCUUGCCAUGGAGGGUGAAGGUCGACAUUUAUAGGAAAUAAUAACUGGUACUGUUCUUUCACUCCUGUCGGCAACCGUUGGAUGAUUGAACAGUAAACUUCACGUGUUUUCUACUUCAACAGAAAUCGUCGAUAGAUUGCCCGUGAUUUCCUCAAAGCUGACGAGGCUGAGAAAGAUAGAUGGUUGGAAUCGGCGCUUCGACAAACUGCCCGUGAUUUCCGUAAAGCUUUCUCUGCAUGUGACAAGUGCUGACGAGGCUGAGAGAGACAGGCGCAUCUUCGCUAUCUGAGAUCGAUGUUUCGACAAAUUUUCUGUGAUUUUCGCAAAGCUGAGUUUGCGUGUGACGGGUGCUGACGAGGCUGAGAAAGCUGACACUCUUCGAUAUCUGGAAUCGGUGGUUUGUGAGCAAGCCCAACUUUUGAGAAAGCUGGCGCCUCUUCGAUUUUUUAAUUGGCUUCUUCGAUUUCUGAGCUCGCCUCUUCGAUCUCUGAAAUCCUAUCGCGUGCUGAUUUUUAUAGAGGUAUGCAGGACGUUCAAAGCACGCUUGAAUUUCUGCCUGUAAAAACUCCCGUUUUGCACUUCUACGAUCUUGACUUGUCCGAUCUCCUCUUUCUUUAACACCUCUGAAAAAUGUCUGGCCCUUCCGACCGUCGUUUUAACUUGAACCUUGAUGAAGAGGCAGCCCCGCCUUCUCCAGACAACAUAUGGCGCCCAUCCUUCAAAUCCCCUACUGGUCCCCUUACCGUUGGGGAUUCGGUGAUGAAGAAUGAUAUGACAGCUGCGGUGGUGGCCAGAAACCUUGUCACUCCCAAAGAUAACAGACUACUUGCCAAAUGGUCUGAUGAGUUGGCUGUUAAGGAAUCUCUGGCUCUCAGUGUGCAGUGCGCAGGUUCCGUGUCCAAUAUGGCCCAACGCCUAUUUGCUCGACCCUGUCAAGUUGAAUCAUUGGCGGCUGAAGUGAUGAGUCUAAAGCAGGAGAUUAGAGGGCUUAAGCAUGAAAAUAAAAAAUUGCACAGGCUCGCACAUAAUUAUGCUACAAACAUGAAGAGGAAGAUUGACAGAUGCAGGAAUCUGAUGGUCAGAUUUUACUUGAUCAUCAGCGGUUUGUGGGUUUGUUCCAACAGCAUUUGCCUUCGUCUUCUGGGGCUGUACCGUGUACUGAAGCUCCAAAUGAUCAACCUUCGCUGCCUCCUCCUUCUGGGGCUCCGCCAACUGCUGAGGCUACGCCGACUACUGAGACUUCUCCUAAGCAGCCUUUGUGAAGGCUCCCUCUUGUAAUUUCUGCUUAAUGUUCCUUUUCUACAAAAAUCAAUGAAAAAGCAUCUUGUUUACCAAAAAUCCACACCAAAAGAAAUAAAAAUGACAAACAAGGUAAAAAAAAACGUAGUAAAUGGAAGGUUUUUAGAAACGUAAAACCGAUUGUGAAGCGAUUCAUAGAUCUUCCUUAUUUGAAUACAUGGGUUGCCUCCCAAGAAGCGCUUGCUUUAACGUCGUGCAGCCGGACGAAGAACGCAAUUACUCCCCAUUGGAGCCCACGGCAUGCAAGGGAAUGUUCUCCACGACAUGCUCCUCAAAAUGCUCAUAAUAGGGCUUCAAUCGAUACCCAUUCACCUUGAAUUCAUGUCCCGUUUUCAAGCUUUGGAUCUGGACUGCACCAUGAACAAAAACAUUAGUAAUAACAAACGGUCCAAUCCACUUAGAACAUAACUUAACGGGAAAUAACCGUAGACGGGAAUUGAACAAUAGCACUUUCUGCCCUACGGAGAAUGUUUUGCCUCGAAUCAUCUUAUCAUGGAAAACUUUGGUCUUCUCCUUGUAAAUGCUAGCAUUCUCGUACGCUUCAUGCCUUAUCUCAUCAAGUUCAUUUAGUUGCAACUUCCUAUGACUCCCUGCGGCAUUUAGGUCCAUAUUGAACUUCUUGAAGGCCCAAUGAGCUUUGUGUUCCAAUUCAACAGGGAGAUGGCACGGCUUGCCAUAGAUGAGCCGAAAUGGGGACAUACCAAUGGGUGUCUUGUACGCCGUACGAUAUGCCCAAAGUGCAUCAUCUAACCGUAAGCUCCAAUCCUUCCUUGUAGGCCCAACGGUCUUCUCUAGAAUUUGUUUGAUCUCACGGUUGGAAACCUCGGCUUGGCCAUUCGUUUGAGGAUGGUAAGGUGUAGAAACCCUAUGGUUGACAUUGUAUUUCCUCACUAACGCCUCUAUGGUCCGGUUGCAAAAAUGCGAUCCUCCAUCACUUAUGAUGACACGUGGCAUGCCAAACCUUGCAAAAAUGUUAGUUUUAAUAAAAUCUGCAACCACUUUAGAGUCAUUAGUCCGGGUGGCUUUAGCUUCCACCCACUUCGACACAUAAUCAACCGCAAGCAAAAUAUACAUGAAACCAUACGAGGAAGGAAAGGGACCCAUAAAAUCAAUUCCCCAAACAUAAAAAAUUUCAACAUUAAGGAUAGAAACUUGCGGCAUUUGAUCCCUAGCACCUAUGUUACCCAUUCUUUGGCAUUUAUCACAUGUUAAGCAAAAAGUUCUAGCAUCCUUAAAGAUACUAGGCCAAUAGAACCCACAUUGUAACACCUUAAGUGCUGUUCUUUGUGUGCCAAAGUGACCACCACAUGCAUAUGUGUGACAAAAACUUAAAAUUGAACGAAAUUCAGAAUCAUGCACACAUCGACGUACAAUCUGAUCCGGGCAAAAUUUCCACAAAUAUGGAUCAUCCCACACAUAAAACCGUGCAUCAUCCCUAAGUUUAUCACGUUGGUGCCUAGUGAAAGUGCUUGGAAUUUGUUUUGACACCAAAAAGUUCACCAAAUCGACAUACCAAGGCUCACUAACCUUUAUGGACAACAAUUGUUCAUCGGGGAAUGUCUCGACAAUGGGUAGGGACUCCUCAUUAUGCACCAUGCGGCUUAGGUGGUCAGCCACCACGUUCUCACUUCCUUUCUUGUCACGAAUCUCAAUAUCGAACUCUCGAAGUAGCAACAUCCAACGAAUUAGCCGCGGUUUGGCUUCCUUUUUAGUGAGCAAGUAUUUCAAAGCUGCAUGGUCAGUGAAAACAAUUACUUUAGUCCCAAUUAAAUAUGAUCUAAACUUAUCUAAAGCAAAAACAACGGCAAGAAGUUCUUUUUCCGUAGUGGAAUAGUUCAACUACGCAUCAUUCAACGCCCGUGAGGCAUAGUAGAUGACAUGCGGCCUCUUGUCCUUCCUUUGUCCCAAAACAGCUCCUAACGCAUAAUCGGACGCAUCACACAUAAGCUCGAACGGUAGGCUCCAAUCCGGUGGGACAAUGAUUGGUGCCGUAGUGAGUAGGUCCUUGAGAUGGUUGAAUGCUUGCUCACACGCCUCGUUGAACUCAAACGACACUUCUUUUUGUAGGAGACGGCAUAGAGGUUGUGCAAUCUUGGAAAAGUCUUUGAUAAAUCGUCGAUAGAAUCCUGCAUGACCAAGAAAAGAACGAACCUCUCUCACUGAAGUAAGAGAGGGUAAGUAGCGUACAAGAUCUAUCUUAGACUUAUCAACUUCAAUUCCUUUUUCAGAGAUUAUAUGACCCAAAACAAUACCUUGUUUAACCAUAAAAUGGCAUUUCUCCCAAUUUAACACAAGGUUUGUUUCCACACAACGUUUCAAGAUUAAAGUGAGAUUAUCUAAGCAAUUAUCAAAUGAACUACCAAACACACUAAAAUCAUCCAUGAAUAUCUCAAUAAUCCUUUCAACAUAAUCAUAAAAUAUGCUAACCAUACACCUUUGAAAUGUCGUAGGAGCAUUGCACAAACCGAAUGGCAUGCGUCGAUAUGCAAACGUUCCAAAGGGACAAGUAAAAGUGGUCUUUUCUUGAUCAUCCGGGGCAAUGACAAUUUGAUUAUAACCAGAGUAUCCAUCAAGAAAACAAUAAAAGGAAUGACCUGCUAACCUUUCAAGCAUUUGAUCUAGGAACGGCAAUGGGAAAUGAUCCUUCCUUGUGGUGGCGUUUAGCUUCCUAUAAUCAAUGCAUACUCGCCAACUGGUUUGGAUUCGUGUGGGUACAAGCUCAUUCUCCGCAUUCUCCACAACCGUCACUCCAGAUUUCUUGGGUACGCAUUGAAUAGGUGAAACCCAAUGGCUAUCGGAGAUAGGAUAGAUCACUCCACAAUCAAGGAGCUUGAUUAUCUCCUUUUUCACAACUUCCAUCAUUGGAGGGUUGAGACGGCGUUGAGCCUCUCUAGUUGGUUUGGCCCCCUCCUCAAGAAAUAUGUGAUGCAUGCACGUUGUAGGGCUUAUACCCUUGAUAUCGGCCAAGGUCCAUCCUAGGGCAGAUUUGAACUCCUUCAAGACUCAAACUAGUUUCUCUUCUUCUUAUGCCGUGAGGAAUGAAGAUAUGAUGGCAGGUAGGGUCUCAUUUUCUCCCAAGAAAAUGUACUUCAAAUGGCUUGGUAAUGGUUUGAGUUCAAGGACAGGUGCCUGAAUUAUUGAUGGAAGCAACUUGUUAGUUGAAAUGGGAAUGGAAUCGAAGUUAGGAGACUUACCACCAUGCUUAGGUAAUGACUCAAGGGCAGCAACCAACUCAAUGAAUUCCUCACUAUAAGCCAUGGUAUGGAAUGGUUCAUGCAUGCCGUGGGUUAGCAUAUGGUUUGCAUCCAUGGUUUUGAGUUCCAUGCCUCUUGUAAUGACUUUUUCAAGCACAUCGUCAUUCAAAUCUUCAAGAUAUCCCUGCGCCAAAGAGUCAAUUAUAUCAAUAGAGAAACAUGAAUGGUCCUCACUAGGGUACUUAAUAGAAUCUGAAAGAUUGAAACUAACAACUUCCCCAUCAAAUUCCAUGGACAAAGUUCCAUUAAACACGUCGAUUUUAGUCCGAGCCGUUUUCAUGAAUAGCUUUCCAAGGAGGAUGGGCACUGAAGGGGUAUGGUCCGAUUCAUCCAUUUCGAGGACAUAGAAAUCCGCCGGAAAGAUUAAGUGAUUUACCUGCACAAGAACAUCUUCCAAAACUCCCUUUGGAUAGGCGUUAGAUCUAUCGGCCAAUUGUAUGAUUACACCAUCAUUUUUCAACACUCCUAAAUUCAUAGAUGCAUAAAUUGAGUAUGGCAUAACAUUUAUAGAAGCACCUAAAUCUAACAUGGCAGAUUCAAAGCGAGUGUUUCCAAUGACACAAGGAAUUGUAAAACUACCCGGAUCUUUGCAUUUGGGGGGUAGUUUGCGUUGCAAGAUGGCGGAUACAUUUUCACCUACCUUGACAACCUCCUUGGUCGACAUCCUCUUCCUAGUAGUGCACAAUUCCUUUAGAAACUUGGCAUAUCUCGGGACUUGCUUGAUUGCAUCCAAAAGGGGUAUGUUGACUUGAACUUUCCUAAAUGUCUCAAGGAUGUCCUUUUUAGCUUCCUCCUUUGUUUGCAUAAACCUACUAGGAAAAGGGACAUUCGAAGGAAAAACAUUAGUAGGAAGUGAAUUUGACACAUUCUUACCCUUCUUGGCCGAAUUGGACAGAUUUGGGCUUAUGGAAGCUUGCGGCAAGGGUGUGUCCACCUUUGCCGUGGGUGGGCUUGUGUCCUCCUCUUCUAAUUGUAGUUUUUUAUCUUUUUUGAAGCCUGAUGUAGAUGGUUUAGGAUCUGCCCCAACUUCUUUUCCACUUCUCAACAAUAUGGCUUCUGCACUUUCGAAACCUCCUUUGGAUUUGGAAUGGUAGAACUAGGAAGUUGGCCUGGGUCUCAAAAUUUGCUCACAAAGUCUGCAAUCUGCCCAAUUUGUUUCUCCAAUUGAUCCACCCUUUUGUCUUGGCUUUGCAUAGCUUUGAUUUGAUUUUCUUGCCCCUGAGACAAGUUAGUUAGUAACUUAAGGAGUGUAUCAUUGUCUAGAGAUGUACCUGAAGCAUUUGGGGCAGAUUGUUGUGGAAAAUGUGGGGGUGAUUAUGGCUUGGUGAAAAGCCCCGGGGGUUGUUGCCUAAAGCCUCCUUGUUGUUGGGGUUGUUGUGAAGGAAUAUUUUGUGAAAACAUGUUCAUUUGAAUAACAUCUAUAGCAUGCUAAUAACAAUUAAAACGCGGAAUCAUGCUUGCAUGCAUUCAAAAACAAAACAUUAACCAAGAAAUUCAAAGCCUAGUAGAUUGGUGAACCAUUAAUCAACUCAAAACAAAGUGAGUUGAGAUUUAUACCUUUGUAGAUUCCUCUUUGCAUAAGCAAAGGCUAAUCACCCAAAGAGAGGGCCUUCAUUCCUUGCAUCUAAAGCCUAUGGAUUUGGAUGGAAGAAUAGGUUUCUCCAAGUUCCCAAAAAUUGAGAACCUCUAAGUCUCUUCACCAAAGAGAGAUUUGGAGAAAGAAAUGAGUGACCUUGGAGUAGUGGGAUUGCAAGAUGCACCCCCAAGGUGGCCGGCCUCUUUAGAGAGAAAUGGAGAGACAAGUUCUCACCAAUUUUCUCCAAAAAAAACCCUAAUGAAUUUAGGCUAUAAAGUCAUAUUUAUACCUUUAUUCAUUUGAGUGGCAAACUUGUAAAUAAGUCCAAAGUUCACUACCCUAAACAUCAUGGCCGGCCUUGGGGUAUUUUUGGGUUGUUUGGGCCUUUGUGAAUCAUUAUUCAUUAAGUUGUCAUACAACUUAAGUUAAUGGGCUUGACGUUCGAAGCCCAUUGGGCCUUAAGGUCCAAAACUAUCCCGAGGUCUUUAACGAACUUAUUCGUUUGAUUAAUUAACAUAUUUAAUUAAUCCUUGCCAUAAAUAAAUGAUUAAACCAUUUAAUCAUUCUUACUUAUCUCCAUUGUUUCUUCAAUCUCCUCCUUACACGGUGUGCGAUCCAUUAGGUUCCUUUAAGUGAGGCAGUGGGCGAUUAAAACCAUUUACAUCGAUUGUGAAUUGAAACUUACUUUCAAUUUCUCCCUUUAGUGAUUACACACAUUUAGGGCUUCCACAAACCAUGAGUGACACCUUGCAGCAUAUCAUGGUUUACCCAAGCUAAUCAGAAGAGGUAGAGAAAACCUAUUCAAUUUGGGAUUACAAAUGCAAUACGGUCUUUCUCUAAUACAAUACUCUUGACCACAUUGUUUGGUUUGAUAGUUUAUUUAUUCAUGUCUUACUAUCCAAUGUUGAUUCGUGUGCUUAUAUGAUUACCUUGAAUGUGAUUUGGAACAUUUUCCUAAAUCUCAUUCAUACUUUGGCCAAAGAUUCUUAAUCAUAUCAUAGAGUAUUUCUCCCUCAAACAGUUUGAAGGUUAGAGAUCCCUUGUUGCGCAUUCACUUGCCUCCAUGACUAAGUGGCUUAACCCCCAACGAUGCCGUGGACACUCCAAUGGAAUGACGUUUGACAUAAUCAAAGAUCAAGGACUUAA